CCUCGCCUCGCACAGAGUCCCUGCAAAUCUCCAAAGCAGGGGUGAAGUUCUGGGUGUCCUUCGCUCUUCUGUCCUGAGGCUGUGGCUGGAUGUGAGGAGCUGUCAUCAGCCUUUGCUAGCAGGAGAAUCCAACAAAAAUGCAAGUCUCUGCACCCCUUUGUGUUAGACCCCUGGCCCUAACCGGAACCAAACAUCUUCCAGGAUUUCAGAUCAAAAAUGAGACACUCGGUUUUCGCACAGUGAUUCCUGGACUCUUUCUUGUUACAGUUGUUCAUUAAUCAGUGAUGACAAGGCUUUCCUGUGUUGCAGCUUUGGAAGGAGCAUGAAAGCUGGAGCCUGAGCCUGCGUCAUGUAAUCUGCAGCAAUUACCCCAAAUCCCUCUGGAGCAGAAAUAACCACGUUAAAGAGGAUGCAAAGACAGACACGUCCCAUUGUAGAUCAUGGCGAGGCACCUUGCACAUGAGGGGUCUCGAGCUCAAAGAACAAGUUUUCCAUUUCUGGUCAUAAGUGAUCCAGACAGCGGGAGGAACUCCAACAGUGACCUCAUGAAAGCGUCUUGUGCCAGUGAAACACUUGGCCAGGCUUUGGAGAGGAGAUUUUUCAUCUCCAGAACGUUCACGGGGUUUUGCUGAACAGCCACAUCCAGCGGGAUUGACAGUGAGACGGUGCAUCUGUUCUGAACAGGCCGGAUUGCUUUCUUAUAUUCAUUCUUCUAGUAAUUUUUGGGACGAGAAAGGAGACCACUUUCUGGUGGAAAUGGGUGAAUUCUGCUACCAGAACAUUUGCACUGCAAGAAAUCCCAAGCAGUAUUUUUCCAGCUCGCAUGUAAUAAUAAACUCCAUCCUCGAUUGCUGCUAUCUUGAUGACACAACCCCAAAAGUGCAUCACACCCUUCGCCUACCACAUUUGUGUGGCUAAAAUGAUGGCAAGCAGCUGAACGAUCAAGGCAAGCACCAGAAAGCCCCACCAACAAAAGGCCCUUGAGGAGUUGAGUAUCUGGAGUCCAGUUGUGACUAGAAAGCACAUGCCAGAAUAUCACAAGCGGAGUGUUUGCCUGGUGCAUUUGGCUCAGAGGGAGUCAGGAAGCCAAAGCAAAUUAAACGUCAGCUCCGCGUCCAGCAGCAGCGUGAAGUGCAGCUGGUGCCUGCGAGAAAAGUAAAAGCAUCUGCCUCCAAACCAGACACGAUUCCACCCUCCCUGUCCGUGUUUCAGGACCUCACCAGAGGAAAGGUGGUACGAGACAGGAAAGCCAUCUCCAAGGAGAAAUAAGAGAUAUUCAAAAGCAGAUUGCAGAAAACUGGUCAUAUCUUUUGCCGUGUCUUGUUGUGGUAAAGCCUGAGCCUCUGGCAGGAAAACCGGCCCCUGAACGAGCCGCAUGGCUGAGCUCAUUUCAAGAGAUAAGAACGUUUGUUUUCCAGCCGGGCUCAGCGAACGCUCGUUCCUAUGAAACAGCAAGUGCUGUGCGAGAGCAGGGAUGCUGGUCGUGCAGAUGCUUCGGUCAGGCUGGAGGAUACGGGAUGGAUGAGGUGGGACUCCAAAUGCACAAGCUGGUGGCCAACGUGGGACCAGCACGCUGCUGAAGGACCUUUCAGGAGCAAAGCAGAUAUUCUGGGCUUUCAGCAACAAGAGGCUUAUGUCUGGGAGGAAGUCUGCUCCCCUGGCUUCUAUUUUUGCUUCUGCUCAUCUGUUGAGGGUCUAGGGCUUGGUUUCCUUAGGUCUACACUGUGUUCUUGGGAAACAAUGAAAGAGGCUCGAGUGGACCUGGCAGCAUCUGAAAGCAGAGCAGCCAACCAGGCGGCAUCACUGUUUUCCUGACUCGUUUGUUUGGGAUAUAUUUUUUUGCCUUGCUGCUUAUCUCUCCCUGAGAUUCACGCAAACCAUUGAAAACCAGGUCCAGCCCUGCACGUCCUGUCUGCUUUAUACCUGCUGGAGGGCUGCCCGCCGAGUCUCAGGGGACAGAAAGACGUCAGUGUCUUCUGGUUGGACCCACCAGUCCUUCCCAGUGUGGUCUGCUUGACCUUUACGAUGCUGAGCCCACUCGUGCCAAUAGCGGAGCAAAUCGCUUUGUGCAGAGUUCUGUUUUACAAAGCAGUCCCAGAGACAGGAUGUCAAAACAAUCUCUAGCACCUAAGAGGGCUGGGAACGGCUUUUCAUCUCCCCCCAAAAUACCCAGUAAGAAAACUUAUGCCAGCAGAUCUAGCCAAAGCCCCGGGAAAAUAAAAAGGACAACUCUGUUUCUGCACCAUCCUCUGUCACAAAAAGUUAUUUCAAUGACAUUAAAGGGGGGCACAGCCCGUCUGCACUGGUGGGAAAUCCUCCACGGCCUGUCCUUGUGUCCUGCCCAGUCUCACGCCCUGGAGGUGCCCGGGAUGUGCUGAGCAGCUCGCUCCAGCGAGGCUUUUCAGAACAUCGAUCCCCAGCUCAGAUUGCUUUCAUAGUGACACCCACCAGAGCCAACCGCCUUCUCCUGCAGACAAGGGACUGGGAGCCAGCUCCCUUCACACUCUUGGCCACCUGCCCUUUCCAUUCUCGAGCAGGGCCAGACACCGUGUUAUCUAAAACCAUCUUCCUCAGGCGGGUUCUCACCCGUUUACACUCACUGGAGAGGGACCAGAUAGGUGCAAGGGCUGGAAAAUCGUGAUUAACCCCUUGCGUUGAUAAUUACAUCAACUGCCAGCCUGUGCAGACGCGUAGAACACUCAGAAACAAUAUUAUUGGGAUUGCAACACUUCACAAAGGCUUUAUCACCAUCAGCAGCCUCCUGCUUGGUGCCACGGAAAUAAAAAAGUGUUGACAAAAGAGUGAUUUUAGCAGAUUGGUUUAUUAAGCCUGAGGCUGAAGAGCAGGAACAGAACAGCGCUUUAGGUGAGCGGGAGGAAUUAACCUUCCCAUUCAGCGCCACGUCCCCGCUGCCACGGAGCUCCAGACGGAGCCAGCACCUUUGUGCAAUGCUGGCUGGGUGGCUGCACACAAGUCCUUCCAAUGCUCACCGGCUGGUGAGGCUCGACAGGCAACUCAAAGCUAAGAUGCUCCUGGAGCACGGCGUUAGGCGGCUCUUCAUUUGGUGGAGAUGCUGAGAGAGACCCUGGUCCUGGUUCCACAGUCACUCAUGUCUCUUUGCUGGGGAGGAACUGGCUUCUAAAGCUGCCUGGGAUUGAAUUACGCCUGGCGUUCCAGUGCUCCCACCCACAGCUCGCUCCGGUCCGGACACAUCGCAGGCUGUCCCGCUUGCCCACGUCCUCUGCCAGCAUUUCCAUGAACUCAUAUGUCCUGGCAGGGAGGAGAAAUGCAAAGCAAAGCCCUGACAGCAGCAACAGCCCUUGUAGGGCUGAGCCUCCAGCCUGGACAAUUCACGGCUCUUCUAAUGAAAAGCGGCUCUUCUGUUGGUUUGAUAAAAGUCCCUAUUUUGUCAGUGGGUCUGGAGAAUGGGGUACAGAUCCGUUUUGCUUGGGGAGCAUCUCCCACCCUGCCCAGCGCUGCUGGGGACAAUGGCAGCGCCUCUAACGAUCUUUUUGUCGACAGGCAGAGCAAUUAGUGUUCUGCAACACACCAUAGGCAGAGCAAGUGUUCUGCAACUUUUAAACCACAAGCCCUUUGGCAACGCGUGCUUGACAGAUGGCUUCAGAGUGGCAUUAGCGUUUUAGCAGAGCAAUGCAAUGCACUUGAAAACAUAUGUGUAGAGAUAUAUAUAUAUAUAUAUACACACAGUUUCUCUGUUUCCUUCUGCCAUUCAGAAAUUCCUGGGGCAGGGAGAAACUCUGGGCAUUUUUGCUGGCAGGGACUAGUUUGAUAUAGCAGAAGCUUGGGUUAAAUUGCUGCUUUCAUUCUCACCUUUGUCCCUUCCAUUUGCACGUUCUCCCAGUUCACACCCCAGUCCAGCCCCAGGGAAUAUUCCCAGGACAGUCUGGGACCCGUCCUGCAGGCAUUCCUGUGUGAGGAAGAUCAGCUGGUGGGUGAAGGAGCAUUGGCAAACAAUCUCUGAUUAUUAUUUUUUUUAAUUGCUUCCAUUCAUCCUAAGCAAAUUUUCCAGCAGAGCUGGAAACAAUCACCAGAGACUGGUUACCCCGGUGAACAAGAAGGGAGGUGAAGAAGACAAUGGAAAUUUCCCCAAAGACAUUCAAGUUACAAUUAAGCGGUUAGCAACAGAAAUAUAGAGAGCAAAAGGAAUUGUCCAGCAUGUAUGUCAUUGGAAUUAUAUUAUAUUACCAUGCAGAUCCCUGCCAAAUUAGCCUAGAGAGUUAUUCACAGCAAACUAAGCACAGGGAGUAUUAAACUGCCUGUGAUGAGAUUUAGAGCAAUAGCAAAUUUUGUAAGAGCACUUUGCAAGGGACUAGUAACUCUUAGGAAGAACCAGAGCCCCUUUGGCUGUCAGUGCUUGGAAUUCCCAUUGAAUUCAGUUCCCUUUAAUGCAUCUUGCAUUAAUGCAUCUUCCACCCCUGGCCGGUGGAAGAACCAUCCCAAGAAGAAACCCAGGGUCCCUUCUUCCUACACAGGCGGAAAUUAGCAUCCUUCCAAUAAAUGCUGUGUUGUCCUUGG